rnacentral:rRNA from 1 species
AUUGAACGCUGGCGGCAUGCCUAGCACAUGCAAGUCGAACGGAGGUAGGGGCAACCUUACUUCAGUGGCGGACGGGUGAGGAAUGCGUCGGAAUCUACCCUAUGGUGGGGGAUAACACAGGGAAACUUGUGCUAAUACCGCAUAAUGUCGAGAGACCAAAGCAGGGGACCGCAAGGCCUUGCGCGAUAGGAUGAGCCGACGCCCGAUUAGCUUGUUGGUAGGGUAAUGGCCUACCAAGGCUACGAUCGGUAGCUGGUCUGAGAGGAUGAUCAGCCACACUGGGACUGAGACACGGCCCAGACUCCUACGGGAGGCAGCAGUGGGGAAUAUUGGACAAUGGGCGCAAGCCUGAUCCAGCAAUGCCGCGUGUGUGAAGAAGGCCUGCGGGUUGUAAAGCACUUUUGUUCGGGAAGAAAUCAUAUUGGCUAAUACCUGAUGUGGAUGACGGUACCGGAAGAAUAAGCACCGGCUAACUUCGUGCCAGCAGCCGCGGCAAUACGAAGGGUGCAAGCGUUAAUCGGAAUUACUGGGCGUAAAGCGUGCGUAGGCGGCUUUUUAAGUCGGAUGUGAAAUCCCCGGGCUCAACCUGGGAAUGGCAUUCGAUACUGGGGAGCUAGAGUUUGGGAGAGGGUGGUGGAAUUCCCGGUGUAGCGGUGAAAUGCGUAGAGAUCGGGAGGAACAUCAGUGGCGAAGGCGGCCACCUGGCCUAAAACUGACGCUGAGGCGCGAAAGCGUGGGGAGCAAACAGGAUUAGAUACCCUGGUAGUCCACGCCCUAAACGAUGAGAACUGGACGUUGGGAGGAAUUUGCCUCUUAGUGUCGAAGCUAACGCGUGAAGUUCUCCGCCUGGGGAGUACGCUCGCAAGAGUG